AGGAUGAACGCUGGCGGCGUGCCUAACACAUGCAAGUCGAGCGAUCUUCUUUGGAAGAGAGCGGCGGACGGGUGAGUAGCGCGUGGGUAACCUGCCUUGUACACACGGAUAACAUACCGAAAGGUAUGCUAAUACGAGAUAAUAUAUGAGAGUUGCAUGACUUUCAUAUCAAAGCUUUUGCGGUACAGGAUGGACCCGCGUCUGAUUAGCUAGUUGGUAAGGUAACGGCUUACCAAGGCGACGAUCAGUAGCCGACCUGAGAGGGUGAUCGGCCGCACUGGAACUGAGACACGGUCCAGACUCCUACGGGAGGCAGCAGUGGGGAAUAUUUCACAAUGGGCGAAAGCCUGAUGCAGCAACGCCGCGUGAGCGAUGAAGGCCUUCGGGUCGUAAAGCUCUGUCCUCAAGGAAGAUAAUGACGGUACUUGAGGAGGAAGCCCCGGCUAACUACGUGCCAGCAGCCGCGGUAAUACGUAGGGGGCUAGCGUUAUCCGGAAUUACUGGGCGUAAAGGGUGCGUAGGUGGUUUUUUAAGUCAGAAGUGAAAGGCUACGGCUCAACCGUAGUAAGCUUUUGAAACUAAAGAACUUGAGUGCAGGAGAGGAGAGUAGAAUUCCUAGUGUAGCGGUGAGAUGCGUAGAUAUUAGGAGGAAUACCAGUAGCGAAGGCGGCUCUCUGGACUGUAACUGACACUGAGGCACGAAAGCGUGGGGAGCAAACAGGAUUAGAUACCCUGGUAGUCCACGCCGUAAACGAUGUGUACUAGGUGUCGGGGGUUACCCCCCUCGGUGCCGCAGCUAACGCAUUAAGUACUCCGCCUGGGAAGUACGCUCGCAAGAGUGAAA
rnacentral:rRNA from 1 species